GCGUGCUUAUGGGUGGACGGAAACAACCCAAAAGAAAGGAAGAUAGUGCUGCUAAAGAUGUGGGUGGUUUUAGUAGCUAGCGCUGCACAGACAGAAGAGCUUGCUCCAGGGACUGACCCGCAUUUCCUGUUUGCCUCCUCAUAAUGGCCGGAUGUAGAGGGCGCCCACAGACCCAGAUGAAGACCCUGCAUCUGAGGGAGGUGAAGUCAGAGGCUCAAGGUUGCACAACCAGUACCUAAAACGAGCCCUUCGACUCUAAGCCCUUGACCCUGGCCAGGAGUGGGAGAAAGUUCACAGAACCAACCUCUCUAGGCACAGUCACUGAGAGAUGAGCAGGCCUCUUCUACCACACUCUCCUGCUAUGAUUUACUGUACUGACACAAGUCCGAAGCAACAGAGCCAAGUGACCAUGGACUGAACCCUAUGAAGUCGUGAGCCGAAAUAAAUCUUUCCGCCUUUUAA